rnacentral:rRNA from 1 species
AGCGUAUAUUAAAGUUGUUGCAGUUAAAAAGCUCGUAGUUGGAUUUGUGGCGUGCGGUGGACCCCGGGCCCUAGUGGUCUGAGUGGCUCGCCGCUGCCAUCCUUGGGUGGAACCUGUGUGGCAUUAGGUUGUCGUGCAGGGGAUGCCCAUCGUUUACUGUGAAAAAAUUAGAGUGUUCAAAGCAGGCUUAUGCCGUUGAAUAUAUUAGCAUGGAAUAAUGAGAUAGGACUUUUUCGCUAUUUUGUUGGUUUGCGCGAAGAGGUAAUGAUUAAUAGGGACAGUUGGGGGUAUUCGUAUUCCAUUGUCAGAGGUGAAAUUCUUGGAUUUCUGGAAGACGAACUACUGCGAAAGCAUUUACCAAGGAUGUUUUCAUUAAUCAAGAACGAAAGUUAGGGGAUCGAAGAUGAUUAGAUACCAUCGUAG